GAAAAACAAAGACAAAACCAAAAAACAAGUGAAAAGCUGAAUCAAAGGGACCAAUUGACAAAUUUAUUGUGAACCCUGAAUCAACAACACCAGUACAAAAACAGGGGAAAAGACCAGCAACAACUCCUACAGAUGAAUAUCACAACAGACAAACUGAUUCCAGUAAAUAUUCAAAGACAUAGGUACAAGAACAGUUACCAUAUACCAUUUACUUUCAAAAUAUAUUAUCCAUCCAACAAUUCCU
rnacentral:lncRNA from 1 species